rnacentral:lncRNA from 1 species
GAAUGACUAAAUUAGCCAAAGAAUAAGGUUGGUAGAAGAAAGUAGGAGAAAAGUUUCAAAACUUGUCUAAAGAAUUUGGUCCUUAUUCAUUGGGCAACAAGGAGCUAGUGAAGUGUUUUGUUCUAUUUUGUUUGAAGUGGAAAACAAAAUGAUCAGAUCUACACUCUGGGAAGAUCAUAUACAGGAGACAGUGGAGGAAGAAGAGCCUAGAGGUUGGGUAGGGUAGCCUACAAGGAGAAUAUAGGACCCUUUGUGAUCUGCCCCAGACUGUCACUGAAUACUCCCAUUUUUCUAAGAGAUAGUUUAAUUAUUUUUUCUGUCUCUUCUCUUUUUCCUUUUUCCCACUUCCUACUUAGCUCUUUAGAAAUGCAAUUAUAGCCUUUACUUCCUCUUCAGCAGAUACUCCUUACAGGGCAAGUUCGUCUAACGGUGUCCUUAGAAGCUCCAGAACGGAACUCUUACCCACCAGGAGGUUGCCCCGAGAGAUAACAGUCAAUUUACAACCCAAAGUAUGCCGGCUAAAGUUUUUGGCCACCAUUACAACUCAUUUCUGCCCAUGAAGACACCAACUUGACUGCCUGAUAGAUAAGGCACCAAGCUAGCACACAAACCCCUCACCUGCUUGUGUCCUCCUUUGCCUUUUAAAAGUGCCCACUUUCUGCUCCAAAGGUGAAGCAGCACACUUAAGGAUAGAAGCCUGUACUUCUUCCCCUAAGCUGGCUUUGGAAUAAAAAGUCACUUUCUUUAUGCCAGACCUUGUUCUUAUUAAUUGGACUCUGCAAGUGGCAAAUGAUUGAACCUGCACUUCGGUUGCAUGACUACCAACCCAUCUCUUCAGCCUCAACCCUCACCCAACCCCAUCCAGUUGCAAGCCAGUCAUCCAAUCACUUGCCGUUCCUUGAACAAACCAAGCCCUGCUGGCUUUGCACAUGGGGGUCAUCCCUGCGGAAGACCCUUUCUCUGCCCCUUCACCAGGCUUAAGCCGGAAGAGAGACAACUUCCUUCCCUCCAGCACGCCACAGAGUUUUGCCAUAACAUAAAGCAAAGCCUGCAUGUGCAAAACUUGUCUUCAGGAUUCUUAGGACCAAAGAGGUCAGUGCCAUGACUGCAGUGUUGCUCAGAAGAGACUAUUCCUUGUUCCAGCUCAAAAAUUGGUGGGUUUUUCGUUUCUUUGUUUUACCCCUCAGCAAUUGUUUUAAACAGGACAUGACUUUUCAUUUUGUACCACAUAUUCUGUACCUUUUUUAUAUCCUAAAGUUUUUCAAGCUCUUGAUGAUAAACCAGGCCAAUCCACCUCAGUCUUUGCCCAAACAGCUCCCAUCUGGAGUCCUCAAUCCUUUUGCUCCAAUGUAGGCUACUGCUCCUCAGCUGCCAGCAAAUGUCCUGAGGCCUCAAUGCCCUGCUCCCUGGGUUGGAGCGACUACUUCGGCAUCCCCCACCUUUCUCUUUCUUAAAUUAUUCUGUCAUUGCUGAGAUCCAUCCUCAAGGAACAUUUUUUUAAAGGGUAUAUUGGAGAUUAAAUUUCCAAUACUUAAAUAUUUGAAAUGCCUUUUUCCUCCUCUUGUUUGGUUAGCCAAAAAAUAGCAUAGCAUAGCAACCUGUAUUUUAAAUUACUAUAUAAAUUACAAUGUAAAACAAUAGCAUCGCAACCUGUAUUUUAAAUUAUUUUUCCCAGAACUUUGAAAGUCUUGCUCCAUAUUUUUCUUAGCAUUUCAUGAUGCUGAUAAGAAGUUUGAUGCUGAUAAUUAAGUCUUCUGUUCUCCUCUCUUUCAUCUCAGGUUUUAGAGUAUGUGAGUUGUGUUUAUGUGUAUAAUUGCUAGAUAAAAGGGAACGUGUAUAUUUCACUGUAGUGGGCAGAAUAAUGCUCCUCCUCCUCACCUCCCUCAAAGAUGUCCAUGUCCUAAUUCCCAGAACCUGCAAAUUUGCUAUCUUACACAGCAAAAGAGAUUUGACAGGCAUAAUUAAGGUUACCGACCUUGAGAUGGGGAGAUUCGACUGGAUUGCCCGAGUGCACUCAAUGUAAUCACAUGAGUCUUUGAAAGUGGACAACUUUACUGUCUGGAUCAAAGUUGAAACAGAAGGAGGAGGAGAUUUGAAUCAUGAGAGGGACUGGAGCUGCCAUUGCUGGCUUUGAAGAGAAAGGACGAUAACCAUGAGCCAAAAGUACAGGCAGUUUCUAAAUGACAGAGCUGCCCUCAGCUGAUUGCCAGCAAGACAACAGGCAAUUUGAAUUUACAUAUUAUCUGCAAGGAACUGUAUUCUGCUAGCAACCAGAAGAAGCUGGAAAUGGAUUCUAGAGCCUAGGAACCCUAGAUCCUAGGAACAGAUCAUAGAGUUUCCAGAAAAAAACACAGCCCUGAUGACCCUUUGAUUUUAAUCCAGUAAGACUCGUACCAGACUUCUGACCUACUGAUCUUAAAUUAAUAAAUUUGUGUGUAUAUUUAAAUAUGUGUUGUUUUAAGCCACCACAUUUGUGGUAAUUUGCUACAGUAGCAAUAGAAAACCAUUUUUUAAAAAUAAAUGCUGCCAAAAUUUCAUCCCCCAAAGCUAAAUUUAUUUAUACUUGUACCAACAGGUGAUGAGAAAACUCUUCCUCAAAACCUUCACUGACAAGGGAUAUUUUCAAUAGCUUAAUUUUUCCAAGCUGAUCCUGAAAAAUAUUUCACUUUUGAUUUCAUUUGCAGGCCAGGCCUCUGCUUUUUUAACAAGGUUGAGCAUCC